rnacentral:rRNA from 1 species
GAGUUUGAUCGUGGCUCAGGACGAACGCUGGCGGCGUGCUUAACACAUGCAAGUCGAGCGGUAAGGCCCUUCGGGGUACACGAGCGGCGAACGGGUGAGUAACACGUGGGUGACCUGCCCUCAGCUCUGGGAUAAGCCCGGGAAACUGGGUCUAAUACCGGAUAUGACCACAUGUCGCAUGGUGUGUGGUGGAAAGUUUUUCGGCUGGGGAUGGGCCCGCGGCCUAUCAGCUUGUUGGUGGGGUGAUGGCCUACCAAGGCGACGACGGGUAGCCGGCCUGAGAGGGCGACCGGCCACACUGGGACUGAGACACGGCCCAGACUCCUACGGGAGGCAGCAGUGGGGAAUAUUGCGCAAUGGGCGAAAGCCUGACGCAGCGACGCCGCGUGGGGGAUGACGGCCUCGG